UUCAUAAUCUUCCUGAAAACGAGGUGUGGUUAUUGCCAUCUGAAAGAUAAGUAUCUGAUUUUUUAUGGGGGGUCCCAACCCAGCCAAGGUCACUCAGUCAGGAAGCGGUGGGAUUUGGCAGAUUCAAGGGCAGCCCUGACUACAGAGCCAGAACCCAUUUCACCUUCACAGCCUACUUCCCAGAAAUUUGGUGGCUGCCUCUGUGCUAUGAUUUGGUUGCUACCUGCUGAAGCUUCAACCUCUCAUCACUACCAGAAGGACCACAUCACUAAAAGUCCAUCAAUGGGGUUACUCACUUUGAUGGGCCUGUGCAGCGUCAUUCAGGAAGCCCGUGGUACUCACAUCACUCUGGCCAGACGCUAACAAGAAAAUGAUCCACUGUGACGCAGCCGACCCCAUCCAGUGCAUCCACAUUACCUGGAAAGAAGCAAUUAUGCCCCUUUGGUUUCCUUGGAAAUGCUUGGUCUGUCUCUACCAUCCGCCCUGGCUCUUGAGAAAUACUCAUGCACGGUAGAGCUUUGACAGGGAGACAGUGUGUUUAUUUUCCAACUGAAAGUUUACAGAAUACAAAGUGAGCCUGUAAGAUGGUGGCCACUCUCCAGAGGCUUGUUGGUCAGACAGGAAAGAAAACCAGUGCACCAUCGGGAACGUGGAGGAGGCUGAAAGAGAGGGACAAACAUAUUGGAUUGGAUUGGGCCCCCACAGUCAAGUUCCUGCAAACCAAGCUGGGAGAUUUUCCUGACUAAGGGUUAUGUUCUUGGGCCUCAAAGCUCCCCAGCCAACGCCCAGCUUCUGUGCCGAGGAGGAUACAGGAGGACAGACACAGCCUCUGUGUCAGGAGGAGGGAAGAAGGACUAAUGUCUGUGGACACUCUGAGGCUCACAGGGAGAAGCCACACACUCGCAGCACCAGAUGAGUAAACAGAGGCUUGGAGGGGUGAUGAAAUUUGCCAACAGUCAUCAAUCGUUCCAGGAACAGGUGAUGCUUCCCGGCAGUGAGACUCGAAACCAGCGGGAGUUCCCAGCCAGAGACAUGAUCUAAGUGCCAAUGGCUGAAUGUCUGUGAGCAUUUCAAGUCAUUUUAAGAAUAGGCAACAUUAGCGGCACCAUUAAAGCCUGCUGUUCCUCCAGCCCAUCACUGCCAUCCCCACCUAUUAAAAUAAUGGCAUGAAAAAUAAACAGCCUUUAUGUACAAUUUUA
rnacentral:lncRNA from 1 species